AGUCUCAGGGCAGUUGGGUUUCUUGUGUGCUGGCUCAGGGCUCCGGAGAGGAUAACAUCAGAAUAUCUUGUUCUUCCUCAGGCUUGGGCCCAGACUAGCACAGCAUCAUUAUCUUUUUAUUCUGUGAGUUAACAUAUUUCAGAGGACCAGUGCAGAUUCAGAGUGGAGAGGGCUGCAUAAGAACACGAACACUGGGAGGUGGCUUCAUUUGGGGCCAUCUUUGGAGACCAACUAUGAUGCAUGAUGUAACUGACCUGAAUUCCCAAGCCCCUACCCCCAGCUCCAGCAUAAGGCAUGUGUGGGCCAUUGCAGCCUGAAUUAAUCAGGAGGGAAGAAGAAGUGCGACGAUAACUGGCCAGUGAUACACAGUGGGAGACAGACUGCGGAACUGCCCAUGAGGCCAAGCACCUAUUAGUAGACCAAGAAGCAUCACCCAUCCAUGGCCUAAGUCGGCAGCCAGCUAUUGUUCUCAUCUGAGUCUGGGAGUUCAGGAUUUCCAUCCUGACCCGGCUACUUUCUUUCAACAGUUACCCA
rnacentral:lncRNA from 1 species